rnacentral:rRNA from 1 species
GAUGAACGCUGGCGGCGUGCCUAAUACAUGCAAGUCGAGCGAACUUUUGAGAACUUUCUCCCACAAGUGAUCGGCGGGCGGGUGAGUGAAACGCGUGGAAACUCCCUGUAAGACUGGGAGAAAUCCGGGAAAACGGGGCGAAAACAGGAGAUCAUAUUAUACAACAUAUCCUUCAAUUAAAAAAGGGCGUUUAGCUGCCACUUAUAGAUGGACCCGCGCCGCAUUAGCUAGUUGGUAAGGUAACGGCUCACCAAGGCGACGAUGCAUAGCCGACCUGAGAGGGUGAUCCGCCAAAACGGGAAUGGGGACCGGCCCAGAAUCCUACCGGAGGGAGGAGGAGGGAAGCUUCCGCAAAUGACGAAAGGCUGGCGGGGCAAAGCCCCGUGGGCGAAGAAGGGCUUCGGGUUGUAAAGCUCUGUUGUUAGGGAAGAACAAGUAUCGUAAGAAUAGGGCGGUACCUUGACGGUACCUAACCAGAAAGCCACGGCUAACUACGUG